ACGCUCGACACCUACUGGAGGCAGCAGUGGGGAAUAUUGCACAAUGGGGGAAACCCUGAUGCAGCAACGCCGCGUGAAGGAAGACGGUUUUCGGAUUGUAAACUUCUGUUCUUAGUGAAGAUAGUGACGGUAGCUAAGGAGCAAGCCGCGGCUAACUACGUGCCUGCAGCCGCGGUAAUCUGAGCGGGCUGGCAAGGC
rnacentral:rRNA from 1 species